rnacentral:rRNA from 1 species
UACAGAGGGUGCGAGCGUUAAUCGGAAUUACUGGGCGUAAAGCGCACGUAGUCGGCUUUGCAAGUCGGUUGUGAAAUCCCCGGGCUCAACCUGGGAACCGCGCUUGAGACUGGCGGACUCGAGUUCGGGAGAGGAUGGUGGAAUUCCCAGUGUAGAGGUGAAAUUCGUAGAUAUUGGGAAGAACACCGAUGGCGAAGGCAGCCAUCUGGACCGACACUGACGCUGAGGCGCGAAAGCGUGGGGAGCAAACAGG